UAGCAACCACUGUUAUACUCAGUGGCCCUGAAACGAUGUUUGAGACAUGUUUUCAGCUAAGACUAUGUUUGAUUUGUUUUUCUUGUAACACUUAAGCAUGUUUAGUAGUCCAAUCACCGACUGUGUAAACUUCUCAGACCGAUUUCCAAGCCUACUAGUACUAAGUUUAAAUAAGAAACCAACAAUAUCCCACCUUGGCUAACUGAGUUAACGCAAUGAAUUUAAUCCUAAUUUAAGAGUAUCAAAGGGAGAAUGAGUGUUCAUUAGUCAUUCAUUUUAUACUAGGAACAAAAUGAAUGUCCUCCAAAGAUUGAAAGAAUGAAAUGGUAUUGUGUGUUACAUGGAGAUGAGAGUGCAACAACAGUGCGACAUCUGCAACUACUGGCAGCACUGUGUAUUGGAUCAGGCAUUGAUUUGACAACAUACCGGCAGUUCAUCAGAGGUGAAAAAGAAAUAGAGAUCAGAUGCUACGAAAAGAAUGAAGUCUUGAUGACUCUCUUGUACUUGAGAUAGAAAUAUCUGAAAUGUAUGAAUGAAUGAAUGUUUGAAAUGUAUAAUGAAUAAAUUGUGUAACAAAUGAAUGUUUGAAAUGAAAAAUGGAUAAAAUGAAUAACAAAUGAAUGUUUGAAAUGUAUAAUGAUUGAUUGAUUUUGUCAGAGACCAUUUAUUGAUAUAUGUCAGUAUAUGGUCUCUGAUUUUGUGAAAGAAUAGUGCAAGGAAUAUAUUGUUAUCACAGGGUUGAAUAAAUCAUUAUAAGAGUA